rnacentral:rRNA from 1 species
GCGAGGUAGAGCAAAUCUCAAAAAAACAAUCUCAGUUCAGACUGCAGGCUGCAACUCGCCUGCACGAAGUCGGAAUUGCUAGUAAUCGUAGGUCAGCAUACUACGGUGAAUACGUUCCCGGGCCUUAUACACACCGCCCGUCAAACCAUGAGAGUUGGCAACACCCGAAGUCGGUAGUCUAACCGCAAGGAGGACGCCGCCGAAGGUGGGGUUGAUGAUUAGGGUUAAGUCGUAACAAGGUAGC